UAUCUUUAUAUUUUAUAAAAUAUUUACAUCUGCUAGUAAAAGGGAAAUACGGUCCAAACAAGUAAAGUUGGAAUCACGAAUUGAACUCGUCCAAUCUCCCCAUGUAAUAAAAGGAAAACCGUAUUAUAACUAAGUCAAUCAAAAGAGUAAGUUUGAUAUACCUCAUCAAAUAGGUAAACAAAAGAUCAAGUCUCUGUGAAUUAGGGUUUGCUUGGCCGUCAAACAGAAGGAAGGUCUGAUACGAAACUCUAUUUGAUUUUCAAACAGUAAAACGUUGAUAACAUUAGUCUCUUUGGAUUUGGGAGGUUUCGGGAAGGUCUGCAGGAGAAAUAUCAAAAGGAUCAUAUGAAAAACCUAAGUGAAUUGCCUGAUGAUCUAUUGAUAAAGAUUUUGUCAUUGCUUCCAACAAAAGAGUCUGCGGCUACCAGCGUUUUGUCAAAACAAUGGCGUUGUCUUUGGAAACAACAAGAUGUUGACUAUGUAGAGCUUUGUAAAGAAUGCUCACCCUACUGGAAUUUUUUUAUAUCUGUAAAACCUGUACAGUAUUGUCGUCGGGGGGAGCGUCCGUAUAAAUUUGAGAGGUAUCGCCCCUGUCCGCUUAUGAAAGUGAGGUUUGCUUUGUUGAUGUCAUAUCUCAAUGGUGAAGCCAAUUGCAAAGGGUGUGCCGAGUGCAAAGGAAGAAUACAUGCACCUCGAAAAGCAACCAUUUUCAUUUUAGGUAAAAAGUCGGGAAAGACGCACGCUAUUAUAUGGACCUGCAGGCUGGAAGAAAAACAUGCGAUGCAAAUUGAGUUCGUUGUCAGGCGGAAGACAAGGUUAAACUAUAGCCGCUGCCUCUCACUUUAGUUUUGAUAUCAACUUUGUCUCUCUUCUUUUCUCCUUUUUUUUUUUGUAGAUUUAGAAACAUGGGUAGGUUUAUAUCCUUGGACAACAAAGUCCCUUUUAAUU